rnacentral:rRNA from 1 species
GACGAACGCUGGCGGCGUGCUUAACACAUGCAAGUCGAACGGACAGGCCCUGCUUUUGUGGGGUUCUCGAGUGGCGAACGGGUGAGUAACACGUGAGUAACCUCCCCUUAACUUUGGGAUAACUUCUGGAAACUGGGGCUAUUACCCGAUAUGAGCUCCUGCUGCAUGGUGGGGGUUGGAAAGUUCCGGCGGUUGGGGAUGGUCUCGCGGCUUAUCAGCUUCUUUGUGGGGUAGUUGCUUACCAAGGCUUAGACGGGUAGCCGGCAUGAGAGGGGUACCGGGCACAUGGGGACUGAGAGACGGACCAGACUGCUACGGGAGGCAGCGGUGGGGAGUAUUACACAAUGGGCGGAAGCGAGAUGCGGAAACGCCGCGUGCGGGAUAACGGCUUUCGGGGUGGAAACAGAUUUCGCAGGUGACGAAGCGUGAGUGACGGUAAUGGGUAAAGAAGCACCGGCUAACUACGUG